UGUUCACUGGACAUAAUCACAACGUGAAAGAAUAGAAACGACUAAAAUCAACUUCUCAAUACAUUAUGACUUCCCCAGACUGUCUAAGACUGUAAAGACUGGACAUGGGGGAAGCAGCCUGACUAAGUUCAAAGAUUUUCCAAGUCGGCUCCAGAAUAAAGCUCGGUCUCUGCGGCCAGCUCCUCCAGACACACAUCAGCAGCCACUGGCAUCGACUUUGUACACAUCUUCAGGAUGCAAAGACGAGCCUGGACACACGGACAAAUAACUUACCUGCUGGUCAGGUGGAGGAACAUAGAUGAUGUGGUCCAGUCUGCCAGGUCUGAGGAGGGCACUGUCUAAGCAGUCAGUGGAGGCAACUCUGUCCUGCCCAGGCUGCUCCGCAGGCAGGAGGGACGCACCGCCUUCAGGGCUUCCUGGAAGUGCUUCAUACCAACCGCCUGCUCUCCUGAACUCUACAGAUAACAAGAAAAGUUAUUCUAUUUCUAUUUUUACUUUCAAAAGGGUUAUGUGUCAGGUUUGAGGUUUAUCAGAUACACGUGUCCAUAUAUGGAACGCAAGUGCAUCUUUGUUUUUAAAGAAUGCCUGGCCAACUUACACAACUCAGACCGUACUUUUAAUAAGCAUACACAUGUUGGUUUGCCAAAUAGCCACCUUAAUACUCUUCUUUAGCUGUAAAGCUGUAAAUAUGAGUGAAGCAGCAAAAUAUGUCAUAAUAAGUCAUUCGAGACACAUUUCAGACAUACUGUGUGAACGGCCGUCCAAUGUUUUCCUUUUUCAGAAUACGAUGCUUGAUGCCUGCAUCAUUGUUUUCUGUAUCAAACGGUUGGAUGGACCUCAUUACAGUCGAGAAGAAAUAGCGAUCUCAUGUUAUUCAUUUAUAAAGCUCGACUGUUGAAGCUUCCAAACUACGUCACAUCUCUUCUCUCGUUUAAAUCUAUUAACUACAGUACACGAUCUCGUGACCACUUAACCUUAGAUAUCCUUCAUGUACGCACCAAUGUUGGCACAACUGGUUUUAUGAUUAUUGAACUUUUUAAUUCCUUGUUAUUGUAGUUUAGUUGUUUCUGUUUUGUUGUUUGUGUUCUUGUGAAUGUUCCUUGUUGGCAGGUCUCACUUGCAAAAUACAUUUUAAUUCUCAAUGAGACUCCCUGACAAAAUAAAGAUUGAAGUAAAAAUAAAUGAAUUAUAAAAUACCUUUGAGUUUUCCCGUAUAGCGUGCAUGGCAGCCUCUCUGCACAGGGCGCUGAGGUCUGCUCCUACAUAGCCUGUAGUUCUCUGUGCGAGCUCUGCCAUGUCCACACUUGGACACACGGGCAUCCUCGCACACAGAACGGACAAGAUGGCUUUUCUCUGCUGCAGGGUGGGAGCUCCAAUGAUAACCUGAAGGAAAGACGUACAAAUUUAGAGCCUCAAAGAUUUAUUUACAUUUAUUAAUACAUUUUGGGUGCAUGUAUUUCAUCAU